AAUUAACAGUUUUGUAUAGCAAAUGUGAUUUGCCCGAUGAAGUCAUAUCUAGACGUUUUGAUAUCUCAUUAUCGGCUAACAUUCGAUAAUCGGGAGAAUGAUGGCCGCCGUGAAUUAUGGAACCCGGAAUACGGUACUUGGAACCGGGGAGUAUGGCAUCCAAACAUCCACUUGCCGACGGCAAAACCAUCAUGGCCGAGUUUAUAUCGAAGCGCGCCAACAACAAAUCACAUGCACGCACACAUGCAGGCCAUCACUCACACGCACACAAUCACAAUUCAGCAUCGCUCUCACUCUCUCUCUUUCUCCUACGCUCUCGCUCUCCCACAGCUGUUGUGGAGCGGAAAAAGAACAACAACACAAGUUGGCCGAAUUUUUGCAGCCGCUGCUUCUGCUUGCGGCGCUGCCAGCGUCGUAAACAGGGAGGAGUCCGCCACAGACGCACACUCAUAAAGCAUUCUCAGAGACCGCACACACACAAGCGCGGCACACAAACGCACAAGAUGGAUGGCGGCGCAGGCAGAGAGCGAGAGUGCGAGCGAGAGGGGCAGACGCGGGUGCGAGCGAGACGGCCAGAUGCGGCCGCGUUAAGUGUGACGAAUGUGCCAUUAUUUUGCUUUAUGUGUGUCGUGAGCGCGCCGCACUGCUCUUUUUUCAAUUGCCAUUUCUCACAUAAAUUUACGCAGUCGUCGGCUGCUCUGCUGACGGCGCUGCCAGUGAGCUCCAGUUGAGAAUUUUUGCCUUUCUGAGUGCGGAGAAUUCUCUUGGUGGAACAGUGGUGCUGAAAAUUCCAGUUGGAACUGCAAGUUCGCCAGCGGCAAAAAUUCUACCGGAUGUUAAUGCAAUUUUUGAAAUGUCGUACUUGCUUGGAGUCUCCAUUAUGGGUGUUUUAUGGCGUUCUUUGGUAUAUUCAAAUAUAUUUUUACUGAAAC
ensembl:ncRNA lncRNA:CR45899 long non-coding RNA:CR45899